rnacentral:tRNA from 1 species
CUGUCGCCAAGUGGUUAAGGCAUCGGACUUUGACUCCGACACCGAUGGUUCGAAUCCAUCCAG